rnacentral:lncRNA from 1 species
AACUUAGUUGUUUUCAUCGAUAGGAAGCACUUCAACAAAAACUUCUCAGUCAUUUGAUCCCAAGUCAUGAUAGAAUCCCGUGGAAGUGAAUUCAACCACUGUUUUGUCUUGCUCCUUAGAGAGAACGAGAAUAACCGUAAGCGUAUGACAUCAUCAAUAAGACCAUUGAUCUUGAAAGUGUCACAAAUCUCUAGAAAGUUAGCCAAAUGAGCAAUCGGAUCUUUAUCUUUUUAACCCAUCAAAUUGAACAUACAGCUCCACCAUCUGAAUUGUAUUCAGCUUGAUCUCAAAAUUGUUUGCAGCAAUAGUCAGUCUGGUGAUACUCGAUUCAUCCCUAAUCAGAUUAGGCUUAGCAUAAUCAUACAUAGUAUGAGGAGUAAGAGGUGUAGGAGGUUGCUGAUUAUUUUGAUUAUCAUCCAUCUCCACAGUA